GAGUUUGAUCGUGGCUCAGAUUGAACGCUGGCGGCAUGCCUUACACAUGCAAGUCGAACGGUAACAGGUCUUCGGAUGCUGACGAGUGGCGAACGGGUGAGUAAUACAUCGGAACGUGCCCGAUCGUGGGGGGAUAACGGAGCGAAAGCUUUGCUAAUACCGCAUACGAUCUACGGAUGAAAGCAGGGGACCGCAAGGCCUUGCGCGGACGGAGCGGCCGAUGGCAGAUUAGGUAGUUGGUGGGAUAAAAGCUUACCAAGCCGACGAUCUGUAGCUGGUCUGAGAGGACGACCAGCCACACUGGGACUGAGACACGGCCCAGACUCCUACGGGAGGCAGCAGUGGGGAAUUUUGGACAAUGGGCGAAAGCCUGAUCCAGCCAUGCCGCGUGCAGGAUGAAGGCCUUCGG
rnacentral:rRNA from 1 species